UACGAAGGGGGCUAGCGUUGUUCGGAAUCACUGGGCGUAAAGCGCACGUAGGCGGAUUGUUAAGUCAGGGGUGAAAUCCUGGAGCUCAACUCCAGAACUGCCUUCGAUACUGGCGAUCUCGAGUUCGGGAGAGGUGAGUGGAACUGCGAGUGUAGAGGUGAAAUUCGUAGAUAUUCGCAAGAACACCAGUGGCGAAGGCGGCUCACUGGCCCGAUACUGACGCUGAGGUGCGAAAGCGUGGGGAGCAAACAGG
rnacentral:rRNA from 1 species